AUCCAGAUGACGAGUCUGAAAUAGGACGAAGUGCGUAUCCUGGAU
rnacentral:hammerhead_ribozyme from 1 species